UGGAGCCUACGGGGCGCAGCAGUGAGGAAUAUUGGUCAAUGGGCGGGAGCCUGAACCAGCCAAGUCGCGUGAGGGAAGACGGUCCUAUGGAUUGUAAACCUCUUUAGGCGGGGAGCAAUGCCGGGCACGCGUGCCCGGAGGGAGAGUACCCGCAGAAUAAGCAUCGGCUAACUCCGUGCCAGCAGCCGCGGUAAUACGGAGGAUGCGAGCGUUAUCCGGAUUCAUUGGGUUUAAAGGGUGCGUAGGUUGUUUUAUAAGUUAGCGGUGAAAUACCGAUGCUCAACAUCGGGGCUGCCGCUGAUACU
rnacentral:rRNA from 1 species